rnacentral:lncRNA from 1 species
AGUUUUGGAUACGCUAAUGCUCCUUCUGGAAACUCUCUGAUGAGUCAAGACAACACUUGGUAUACAGACAUGGUAAAGUCCUUACUAGUUUUGCUUUGCAUUUAUAAUGCAUGGGCUCUUUUCUUCAAAUAGUAUCAACUAGAAGUUGCCACGGCAAGUUUUGCAUACGAUCACGAUCCUCCUGUAAACUCUAUCAUGAAUAUGUCUACCACUUGCGCCGUUAAUUGCAAUAUUAUACAUCCAUGGUAUACUUCCUACUAGUUUCCAAUGCAGGCGAUAUUAGAGUAAGUAUAAUAGAGUGACAUAGACGGGCUAUAAGAGAUGCCACAUUAGAUUUUUGCUUAGUUGGAGGAGAGAGAAGAGAACCAAACUAUAGGAUUAUAGCCAGUUGUAGCAUCGACUCCAACAUCCUUUGUGAGAGAAUAUGAUGGGCCACACAUUAAUUACAUAGCAUGCAAGUAUGGCUGAACUGUUAGGCUAGACAUGGUGGAAGUAACAUAGGUACUCCCUCCGUUUCAAUUUACAAGUCCUAUGCGUAUACCUAGGUUGCCAAUUUUAUCACCCUAAUAUAAACUAUAUAACACAAAAAUUAUACGGUUUGAAAAUGUGGAACAUCUAAAGUUUAUAUUGGUAUAUUUUUUAUAAGAUAUGACUUGUAUUAGGUUGGUCAAAUUGACGACCUAAGGAUAUGCGCACGCCCUAUAAACUGAGAGAGAGGGAGUAGUAACAUGCAUCCUCAAAACAUAUUAUUCGUGCAAUGCGAAGUAGUCAUAGUGAUGACAUGGCAUAGUAUUAAAUGUGAAAAGAGAUGAUGGUGGUAGUAACAUAUUAUGUUACCAUCACAUAGGGCAUCCCAAGAAAAAUUGAGUCCACAAGCUAAUAAAUGCAACCUUUUAUGAUACUAUAUGUAUGAUACUUUGCACUAUAAAUGUAGUAAUAUAGACUAGUGUCAUAUGCAUGACACUAAUGUAAGUUACUCCUUGCUAUGACUAGCCUUAUAUGAAUGUGUUGUUAGGUUGGCCAUACAUGCCACGACAACUUCAUAUAGCUGGUUGUUGGUUAUACUAUUAAUCAUGCUAUUAAUUUGGUCUUUUUAAUAUUUACUAGAUGUGGAAAUGACUUCUCCAAUGUGCUUAAGCUCUUCCAGAAUUCCUGCUCCUAUGUUGAGACCAAAUUUAAAAAGCCCACUUUUUAAUUUGACUUGAUCAAGUGGACCAAUUAAAGAAUAAUAUAGCUAAUUUUUGUAUUUGACAUUUCUUCGAUAUGUUGGUUUUUUACUAAGAUCAUAAUAUCGGUAGGUUUGUAGUGGUGUUAUUAUUGAAAUUGAAGGAACUUACUCAUCAUUACUUCAUGUUUCCAGCUUCCCCAACCGGAUCCUCCUGCUCAUCAGAUGUCAAUGCAGAAUGACUUGUCCAUUACUUCGUUUGGGAAUAGCAUGAAUUCUUUUACACCCAACCAGAAUGCCACGGUACGCUAACUAGCUUGAACUCGGCUUGGGCCAACCAAAUCUGGAUCAUGCAUCCAUAAAACGAGUUGGCAUUACUAUAUGUACAAUGGUGCGCUUAAUUAGCACUGCUACUCUACAUAGAAUGGCUGCAUAGUUGGAAGAGAGAGAAACUGGAAAAGAUGUUUGCCUUGUCUAAGUAAAAGAAGAUAUCUUAGCAAGCAAAGAUAUGCCUUUUUCUCCCUCCAUUGUACGAGAUAUCUCCCCUCUCAGUCUGUGUUAUAGUUUAAUUUCACUCUAUAAUUCUAAGCCCACACAUAUUAAUUCUUAGGGAUGAUAUUAAGAAAUAAUCUAUUGUACAACAUGUAUAUUGUCACUUUAAAUGACAUGAAUACAUAAGAAAAGAAUCAGCCAUUAUACAUGCUUUUAUGUUGUUGUUGCUGUAUACAACAGCUAGAAGAGUUAAUAAGCUUGCUAACACUGUUCAGUAACUUUUAGCAAGUUUGGUCUGCUAGCUACUUGUCGAUAACCUGCAUGCUUAAAGCUGUAUUCUGUUUAAGAUAUAUUAAUAAUAAAAGCUUGACUUUUUUGCAGAUUGGUGGCUAUGAGCCACGACAACCCGAUACUACUUCUGCUUGGGUUGACCAUUUGAUGGGAAUUACACAUGAUUAUGCUCCAGAUAAACCUUUUCCAUAUCCUAUGCCUUGGGAACACAAUUCAUCUUUUGAGGUAAUAUCCAUAGCGUGCUUUGUUGGCCACAUCAAUCUAUUCUUCUGUCUAACCGCAGUUGCUAAUUGUUUGUCCAUGACAUAAAUGAAUACUACCCGACCAGAUGAAAAUUGACAAGUCUCUAUGAUUUCGCCUUCACUCCAGUUUCAAAUUUUUUUCCUUUCCAUUGUGGUUCCUAGCAUAGUUGUUAUGUCGUUUUCGUGUAUGGAGCUAAAAUUCAAGUUAUUUGUAGCAGAAAGAAAGUAUUUGCAGUAGUGAAAAAUAUUUAUCUUUUAUAUUUGCAGGUAACAAUAUUUCUGGUUCCAGUUAUAAUUUUAAAUCGUCUGUAGCAAUGAUAUGGUAGCAUUUCCGUGACCCCACAAGAGAGAACGACUACACCUGAUCUUACCUUAAACUCAGCUUGCACCAAUCAACUUACAGAUUGCAUAAGAAAUUCACAUGAUGGUGUGUGUCGUACAAAACAAUUAUAAGAGCUAAGCUAGCUUACGUUCUUCAAAUCACUUUUACCAGUUGGGUUUCUUGAUUGAUGAUAACUGCUUACAGCUGCUUUCCAUUUAACAUAAGUAAUAACAGUUUAAAUUUCAACAGACUAAUCACAGUGAGACAUGGCUGGAAACUUCUCCUCCGGGUGAGCAUUAUUG